rnacentral:rRNA from 1 species
CUGGAUUAGUGGCGAACGGGUGAGUAACACGUGAGCAACCUGCCCCUAACUCUGGGAUAACGCUUCGAAAGGAGUGCUAAUACCGGAUAAGUCCUUACGGAGAAAGUUUUAAUGCCAAAAGAUGAGCCCGCAUUUGAUUAGCUAGUUGGUGAGGUAAAAGCUCACCAAGGCGAUAAUCAAUAGCUGAUUUGAGAGGAUGAUCAGCCACACUGGGACUGAGAUACGGCCCAGACUCC